GCCCCGUUAGUCUAGCGGCCCAGGACGUCACCCUUUCAAGGUGAAGACCACCGGUUCGAAUCCGGUACGGGGUACCA
rnacentral:tRNA from 1 species